rnacentral:rRNA from 1 species
GUACGCCUACGGGAGGCAGCAGUGGGGAAUAUUGGGCAAUGGGCGCAAGCCUGACCCAGCAACGCCGCGUGAAGGAAGAAGGCUUUCGGGUUGUAAACUUCUUUUCUCAUGGACGAAGCAAGUGACGGUACCUGAGGAAUAAGCCACGGCUAACUACGUGCCAGCAGCCGCGGUAAUACGUAGGUGGCAAGCGUUAUCCGGAUUUACUGGGUGUAAAGGGCGUGUAGGCGGGAAAGCAAGUCAGAUGUGACUACCA